UUCCUGAGCUCAGUCUGCUGAAUCCAAACCCUUACAUUCCAGGCCACAGUAUAUGCGAGGAUGAGAAGCUUGAAAAAAAAAAGACAGCAAAAGGAGAUUUUGCCAAAAUCAAUAGGGUAGUCAGCAUUCAGAUUGUGUCGUAUUACACUCAGUUCAGGAAGACACAAAUCUUCCCUGCCCAACAUUAAUUCGCAGUGACAAGAGCAGCAAACAGACAAGAAUUCUAAGAAGCCGGUUGGCAGAGCUCAACGACCACUGUCUUC
rnacentral:lncRNA from 1 species